AACGAACGCUGGCGGCAUGCCUAACACAUGCAAGUCGAACGCGACCUUAGGGGCUCGUGGCGCACGGGUGUGUAACGUGUGAAAACAUGCCUUUCGGCUCGGAAUCACCCCGCGAAAGGGGUGAUAAUACAGGAUAACGUUUUCGGACCAAAGAUUUAUCGUCUUUGGAUGGGCCCGCGUUGGAUUAGCUAGUUGGUGGGGUAAAAGCCUACCAAGGCGACGAUCCAUAGCUGGUCUGAGAGGAUGAUCAGCCACACUGGGACUGAGACACGGCCCAAACUCCUACGGGAAGCAGCAGUGGGGAAUAUUGGACAAUGGGCGAAAGCCUGAUCCAGCAAUGCCGCGUGAGUGAUGAAGGCCUUAGGGUUGUAAAGCUCUUUUACCGGGGAUGAUAAUGACAGUACCGGGAGAAGAAGCUCCGGCUAACUCCGUG
rnacentral:rRNA from 1 species